rnacentral:rRNA from 1 species
GACGUAGGGCGCGAGCGUUGUCCGGAUUUAUUGGGCGUAAAGAGCUCGUAGGCGGCUUGUCGCGUCGACCGUGAAAACUUGGGGCUCAACCCCAAGCCUGCGGUCGAUACGGGCAGGCUCGAGUUCGGUAGGGGAGACUGGAAUUCCUGGUGUAGCGGUGAAAUGCGCAGAUAUCAGGAAGAACACCCGUGGCGAAGGCAGGUCUCUGGGCUGACACUGACGCUCAUGCACGAAAGCGUGGGGAGCAAACAGG